rnacentral:tRNA from 1 species
GCACUAGUAGCUCAGUUCCAGAGCGUCG